CAAAGUCUACCUGGUAUAAUUUGAAAUGUCAUUACAAGAUGUCUGUAAGAUGCAAAUUUAUUACCAAGACUCAAUAACAAUGUUUCAGUUUCCCAAAAGUACAUAAUUCUGUCAGGUUCUGGGAUAGUCUUAUGCAGGGAUGGGCAGUAUUUCUGACAGAUGUAUUUCAAAUAUGUAUUUCAAAUACAAAAUAUUAUUUUGUAAUUUGUAUUUGAUUUGGGAUGAUGAAAAUGCCUUAUUAUUUUGUAUCAAAAUACUUCAGUGUUUUGUAUUUUUGUAUUUUCAAAAUACUGUAAAAUACUUUCUUUGAGGCAUCAACGUGAUGACAUCAUAAGAGUGCAAAAUGAUGGCUACAGCCUCAGAUUGGCCUGGUGCUUUACUUUGCCCAGACUUGUUGAGACCUUAUCUUGCAAGGCAGCUGGAUUCUGUGUUAACAAACCGUAGUUGAGACCAGAACACCAAGAAAUUUGAUUCUGUGCAAGAAAAUGAGAGCACCUGAAAGGGAAAACAAAGCCAAGGCGAGCCGGCAUUUUGAAUCCUCAUUCACGGCUGUAAUGCAAAUGGCUUCCUCCUCGGUAUACAAGUGCACUUCCAUGGCAGGAAAAAACCUACAUUUUGCCGCCUAUGUAGUCCUUUAUUUAUGUAAAACUAAUGCUAUUAUACUGAGAAAUAUGAAAAUAAAUGUUGACCAAAAAUUGCAA